rnacentral:rRNA from 1 species
UGAACGCUGGCGGCGUGCCUAACACAUGCAAGUCGAACGCGAAAGUCUCCUUCGGGGGAUGAGUAGAGUGGCAGACGGGUGAGUAAUACAUAGGUAAUCUACCUUCGAGUGGGGGACAACUUACCGAAAGGUGAGCUAAUCCCGCAUGACAUCCCAAAUCAUAAGGUUUAGGAUUAAAGUGGGGGCUCCCUCCGGGGACCUCACGCUUGAAGAUGAGCUUAUGUCCUAUUAGCUUGUUGGUAGGGUAACGGCCUACCAAGGCAAUGAUGGGUAGCCGAGCUGAGAGGCUGAUCGGCCACACUGGAACUGAUACACGGUCCAGACUCCUACGGGAGGCAGCAGUGGGGAAUUUUGCGCAAUGGGCGAAAGCCUGACGCAGCGACGCCGCGUGAGGGAUGAAGGUCUUCGUGAUCGUAAACCUCUGUCAGGAAGGAUUAAAUGUACAUGAAUCAAUACCUCUUGUACUUGACUUAACUUCCAGAGGAAGCCCCGGCUAACUAC